GGAGUGUAAAAUGUUAAAUUACUGCAUAAAUGGGGACAGCGCCAUCUGGCUGAUGCGUGAUGGCAUUUAGUGCACGGAAUAGGGACCACCCACAGCAGAGAUAAUGAGACACGCUGUGGAACUGAUUCAUUCUCCAUAAAGUGAAACCCCUAUUUCCAC